UAGAGUAUGGCAGAGGGGGGUAGAAUUCCACGUGUAGCAGUGAAAUGCGUAGAGAUGUGGAGGAAUACCGAUGGCGAAGGCAGCCCCCUGGGCCAAUACUGACGCUCAUGCACGAAAGCGUGGGGAGCAAACAGGAUUAGAUACCCUGGUAGUCCACGCCCUAAACGAUGUCAACUAGUUGUUGGGGAUUCAUUUCCUUAGUAACGUAGCUAACGCGUGAAGUUGACCGCCUGGGGAGUACGGUCGCAAGAUUAAA
rnacentral:rRNA from 1 species